CACGUAGGGGGCGAGCGUUGUCCGGAUUUACUGGGCGUAAAGAGCGCGUAGGUGGUUAGGUAAGUCAGGUGUGAAAGGCCAGGGCUCAACCCUGGGAUUGCACUUGAAACUGUUUAACUUGAGGGUAGGAGAGGUAAGUGGAAUUCCUGGUGUAGCGGUGAAAUGCGUAGAUAUCAGGAGGAACACCAGUGGCGAAAGCGACUUACUGGCCUAGCCCUGACACUGAGGCGCGAAAGCGUGGGGAGCGAACAGG
rnacentral:rRNA from 1 species